rnacentral:lncRNA from 1 species
UUCCUCAUGAAUUUAUCUUGAAUCGGGACCUUUUGGCUCAACUUUAUCCCAGUUUUGCCGAGGGAGCAACCCCCCUUUUCACCUUGAAUUGGUCAAAAUACGCGGAAUUUCUAAGUUUUCGUGGAGGAUUAGAUCCAAUAACAGGGGGUCUGUGGUUGAGCGAUAUUGCACACCAUCAUUUAGCUAUUGCUAUUCUUUUCCUGAUCGCUGGUCAUAUGUAUAGGACCAACUGGGGCAUUGGUCAUGGCCUUAAGGACAUUUUAGAGGCUCAUAAAGGUCCAUUUACGGGCCAGGGCCAUAAGGGCCUAUAUGAAAUCCUAACAACGUCAUGGCAUGCUCAAUUAUCUCUUAACCUGGCUAUGUUAGGCUCUUUAACCAUUGUUGUAGCUCAUCAUAUGUAUUCCAUGCCCCCCUAUCCAUACCUAGCUACUGACUAUGGUACACAACUUUCGUUGUUCACACAUCACAUGUGGAUUGGUGGAUUUCUCAUAGUUGGUGCUGCUGCACAUGCAGCCAUCUUUAUGGUAAGAGACUACGAUCCAACUACUCGAUACAACGAUCUAUUAGAUCGCGUCCUUAGGCACCGCGAUGCAAUCAUAUCACAUCUUAACUGGGUAUGUAUAUUUCUAGGUUUUCACAGUUUUGGCUUGUAUAUUCAUAAUGAUACCAUGAGUGCUUUAGGACGUCCCCAAGAUAUGUUUUCAGAUACCGCUAUACAAUUACAACCCAUCUUUGCUCAAUGGAUACAAAAUACCCAUGCUUUAGCACCUGGCGUAACAGCUCCUGGUGCAACAACGAGUACCAGCUUAACCUGGGGAGGUGGUGAGUUAAUAGCAGUAGGCGGCAAGGUAGCUUUGUUACCUAUUCCAUUAGGAACCGCAGAUUUUUUAGUCCAUCACAUUCAUGCAUUUACGAUCCAUGUGACUGUAUUGAUACUACUGAAAGGUGUUCUAUUUGCUCGCAGUUCCCGUUUGAUUCCUGAUAAAGCAAAUCUUGGUUUUCGUUUCCCUUGUGAUGGACCAGGGCGAGGGGGGACAUGUCAAGUAUCCGCCUGGGAUCAUGUCUUCUUAGGUCUAUUCUGGAUGUACAAUGCAAUUUCGGUAGUCAUUUUCCAUUUCAGUUGGAAAAUGCAGUCGGAUGUUUGGGGUACUAUAAGUGAUCAAGGGGUGGUAACUCAUAUCACAGGAGGAAACUUUGCACAAAGUUCCAUUACUAUUAAUGGGUGGCUCCGAGAUUUCUUAUGGGCACAGGCAUCUCAGGUUAUUCAGUCUUAUGGUUCUUCAUUAUCUGCAUAUGGUCUUUUUUUCUUAGGUGCUCAUUUUGUCUGGGCUUUCAGUUUAAUGUUUCUAUUCAGUGGCCGUGGUUAUUGGCAAGAACUCAUUGAAUCCAUCGUUUGGGCUCAUAACAAAUUAAAAGUUGCUCCUGCUACUCAGCCUAGAGCCUUGAGCAUUGUACAAGGACGUGCUGUAGGAGUAACCCAUUACCUUCUGGGCGGAAUUGCCACUACAUGGGCGUUCUUCUUAGCAAGAAUUAUUGCAGUAGGAUAAUGGCUAGGAGGAUUUGAAAGGCAUUAUGGAAUUAAGAUUUCCGAGGUUUAGCCAAGGCUUAGCUCAGGACCCCACUACUCGUCGUAUUUGGUUUGGUAUUGCUACCGCACAUGACUUCGAGAGUCAUGAUGAUAUUACUGAGGAACGUCUUUAUCAGAACAUUUUUGCUUCUCACUUUGGACAGUUAGCAAUAAUCUUUCUGUGGACGUCAGGAAAUCUGUUUCAUGUGGCUUGGCAAGGAAAUUUUGAGUCAUGGAUACAGGACCCUUUACAUGUAAGACCAAUUGCUCAUGCAAUUUGGGAUCCUCAUUUUGGUCAACCAGCUGUAGAAGCCUUUACUCGAGGAGGUGCUACCGGCCCAGUGAAUAUCGCUUAUUCCGGUGUUUAUCAGUGGUGGUAUACAAUCGGAUUACGCACCAAUGAAGAUCUUUAUACAGGAGCUCUUUUUCUAUUAUUUAUUUCUGCUAUAUCUUUAAUAGCGGGUUGGUUACACCUACAACCCAAAUGGAAACCAAGCGUUUCGUGGUUCAAAAAUGCUGAAUCUCGUCUCAAUCAUCAUUUGUCAGGACUUUUCGGAGUAAGUUCCUUGGCUUGGACAGGACAUUUAGUUCAUGUCGCUAUUCCCGGAUCCAGGGGAGAGUACGUCAGAUGGAAUAAUUUCUUAGACGUAUUACCCUAUCCCCAAGGGUUGGGACCCCUUCUUACGGGUCAGUGGAAUCUUUAUGCCCAAAACCCUGAUUCGAGUAGUCAUUUAUUUGGGACCUCCCAAGGGGCGGGAACUGCCAUUCUAACCCUUCUUGGGGGAUUCCAUCCACAAACGCAAAGUUUAUGGCUGACCGAUAUUGCUCAUCAUCAUUUAGCUAUUGCAUUUAUUUUUCUCAUUGCUGGUCAUAUGUAUAGAACUAACUUCGGGAUUGGGCACAGUAUCAAAGAUCUUUUAGAAACACAUAUUCCUCCGGGGGGUCGAUUAGGACGUGGGCAUAAGGGUCUUUAUGACACAAUCAAUAAUUCGAUUCAUUUUCAAUUAGGUCUUGCUCUAGCCUCUUUAGGGGUUAUUACUUCCUUAGUAGCUCAACAUAUGUACUCCUUACCUGCUUAUGCAUUCAUAGCACAAGACUUUACUACUCAAGCUGCCUUAUAUACUCAUCACCAAUACAUUGCAGGGUUCAUCAUGACAGGAGCCUUUGCUCAUGGAGCUAUAUUUUUCAUUAGAGAUUACAAUCCGGAGCAGAAUGAGGAUAACGUAUUGGCAAGAAUGUUAGACCAUAAAGAAGCUAUCAUAUCUCAUUUAAGUUGGGCCAGCCUGUUUCUGGGGUUCCAUACCUUGGGCCUUUAUGUUCAUAACGACGUCAUGCUCGCUUUUGGUACUCCGGAAAAACAAAUCUUGAUCGAACCUAUAUUUGCCCAAUGGAUACAAUCUGCUCAUGGUAAGACUUCAUAUGGGUUCGAUGUACUCUUAUCUUCAACGAAUGGCCCAGCCUUCAAUGCAGGUCGAAGCAUAUGGUUACCGGGAUGGUUGAAUGCUGUUAAUGAGAAUAGUAAUUCACUUUUCUUAACAAUAGGCCCUGGCGAUUUCUUGGUUCAUCAUGCUAUUGCUCUAGGUUUGCAUACAACUACAUUGAUUUUAGUAAAAGGUGCUUUAGAUGCACGUGGUUCCAAAUUAAUGCCGGAUAAAAAGGAUUUCGGUUAUAGUUUUCCUUGUGACGGCCCAGGACGCGGCGGUACUUGUGAUAUUUCUGCUUGGGACGCAUUUUAUUUGGCAGUUUUCUGGAUGUUAAAUACCAUUGGAUGGGUUACUUUUUAUUGGCAUUGGAAACACAUCACAUUAUGGCAGGGUAAUGUUUCACAAUUUAAUGAAUCCUCCACUUAUUUGAUGGGAUGGUUAAGAGAUUAUCUAUGGUUAAACUCUUCACAACUUAUCAAUGGAUAUAAUCCUUUUGGUAUGAAUAGUUUAUCGGUAUGGGCGUGGAUGUUCUUAUUUGGACAUCUUGUUUGGGCUAUUGGAUUUAUGUUCUUAAUUUCAUGGCGUGGAUAUUGGCAAGAAUUGAUUGAAACUUUAGCAUGGGCUCAUGAACGCACACCUUUGGCUAAUUUGAUUCGAUGGAGAGAUAAGCCGGUGGCUCUUUCCAUUGUACAAGCAAGAUUGGUUGGAUUAGCCCACUUUUCCGUGGGUUAUAUAUUCACUUAUGCAGCUUUCUUGAUUGCCUCCACAUCAGGAAAAUUUGGUUAAUUUAGUUAUUUAUUGUUUUUUUAUGUACUGUAUCAGCAACAAUUUCAUUUGUUUCGAUGGAGGGGGAGGAUACGCCUUCUUAUAUUUUUACAUCUAGGAUCCGAACUGUAUCAUUGAUAAUAAUAGGAACUGAACAUUAUGGCAAGAAAAAGUUUGAUUCAGAGGGAGAACAAGCGGAAAAAUUUGGAACAGAAAUAUCAUUUGAUUCGCCGAUCCUCAAAAGAAAAAAUAAGCAAAGUUUCAUCGUUGAGUGAAAAAUGGGAAAUUCAUGGAAAAUUGCAAUCCCCACCACGUAAUAGUGCACCUAUACGUCUUCAUCGACGUUGUUUUUUGACUGGAAGACCUAGAGCUAACUAUCGAGACUUUGGCCUAUCCGGACACAUACUUCGAGAAAUGGUUUAUGCAUGUUUGUUACCGGGCGCAACAAGAUCAAGUUGGUAAGGAUAAAAAUAUCGUUUCAUAUUUGUAUAGAUCUCUAUGAUCUAUGAUCAUAGAAGGGCC